rnacentral:rRNA from 1 species
GAUGAACGCUGGCGGCGUGCCUAAUACAUGCAAGUCGAGCGAACAGACGAGGAGCUUGCUCCUCUGACGUUAGCGGCGGACGGGUGAGUAACACGUGGAUCACCUACCUAUAAGACUGGGAUAACUUCGGGAAACCGGAGCUAAUACCGGAUAAUAUAUUGAACCGCAUGGUUCAAUAGUGAAAGACGGUUUUGCUGUCACUUAUAGAUGGAUCCGCGCCGCAUUAGCUAGUUGGUAAGGUAACGGCUUACCAAGGCGACGAUGCGUAGCCGACCUGAGAGGGUGAUCGGACACACUGGAACUGAGACAAGGUCCAGACUCCUACGGGAGGCAGCAGUAGGGAAUCUUGCGCAAUGGGCGAAAGCCUGAAGGAGAAACGCCGCGUGAGUGAUGAAGGUCUUCGGAUCGUAAAACUCUGUUAUUAGGGAAGAACAAAUGUGUAAGUAACUAUGCACGUCUUGACGGUACCUAAUCAGAAAGCCACGGCUAACUACGUG